GUGCUAAGGACAACAUGGAGGACAGCAGGGGUAUAGGGGAAGGGGUGUCUGGAAAUACUUGGGCAAAACCCUGGAGGACUGAGGAUGCCAGCUAGGGUGUCCUGUGGGCACUGGGGGAGCCUUUUAAGCCUUCAGAGCACAUGGGUAACAUGUUUCUCUUCCCUCUUAGGAAGUCCCCUCUGGCGGCCUUGCAGAACAGCUUGGAGGGGUAGGAACUGAGCGGGUAGCCCAGCAGGGAGGGAAACCAAUAAUCCAGAGCCUGAAGGAAACCAAGGAGCUCAAAGGCUUUGAGAGAGAUCUUGGAUGUGGCUGGAAGCUGUGGGAAAGGACAAAAGGUGGCUGUGUUGCCGGCGUCCCCCACCACACAUCUGUCACGACAGCAGGUACGGCACUCAGGAAAAGACAGCCCCGAGACUGGGGGCCAGCAGGGUGAAAACAUGAAGCACAGAAUUACCCUAUGAUCCAGAAAUUCCACGUCUGGGCAAUAGACCCAAAAGAACUGAAAGCAGAGACCCAAACAGGUACUUGCACACCCCUGUUCACAGCAGUGUUACUCACAAUAACCAACGCAAGCAUCCAUUGAUGCGUAAAGGGAUAAACAAAAUGGGGUAUAUACACACGGUGAAAUGUUACUCCGUCUUAAAAAGGAAUGAGAUUCUGAGACGCACUGCAACAUGGAUGAACCGGGAGGACACUGUGCUGACUGAGCCUAGCCAGUCCUAAGAG